rnacentral:rRNA from 1 species
UACGGGGGGGGCUAGCGUUGUUCGGAAUUACUGGGCGUAAAGCGUGCGUAGGCGGUCUAUUAAGUCAGGUGUGAAAGCCCGGGGCUCAACCUCGGAACUGCAUUUGAAACUGGUAGACUAGAGAAUGGUAGAGGAUAGUGGAAUUCCCAGUGUAGAGGUGAAAUUCGUAGAUAUUGGGAGGAACACCGGAAGCGAAGGCGGCUAUCUGGGCCAUUUCUGACGCUGAGGUACGAAAGCGUGGGGAGCAAACAGG